AGCAGCCCCACUGGCCGGCGCUCCCGUGGGGCAGCCGAUGCGGAGGUAGGCACGAGGGCCGCCGGCCGGCUCCGGACUCCCGGCCCCCGUCCUCCGGCCCGCAGUGACCGCGGGCCCGUCUCCGCGCUGGCGUCAAACCGCCCCCCAGCACGCCGGCAGUUUCACUUAUUACAAGGCAACGUUGGACGCUCCAAGUAUGAGGGCCGGGCACCAAAUAAAGUAAUGACCCUAAUUAGGGGCCCCCAAGGGCCGGCCUGGGCCCGGCCGCCUCGGAGGGAGCCUUUUGUGGACUAACGGAGGCCAGGAGAAGAGUGGAGCUAAUUGCAAAUGACCUCACAGAAGAGUUUGAAGUAAUAACAACAAGAAAGUGAUGAGCCAGCUUGCAGAGGCGCAGAUGCUCCAGGGCCAUGUGGGUCAUUAAUCAGUCUAGGCCCCCAGAAUGGAUUGCAUCCAGAAUUAUCUGGCUUAGCCAUCAAUGCAUUCCCGGAUUCGUUGAAUAAUUGCCAAUAUUCCAUUGCACUUCCAGCCACAAAGAAUCAGAGCAAAGAUCUCAUCUUUAAGAAGCUCAGAGCUGAGAUUAAAAAAAAAUUAUUUCACUGAAGUAUGGAAUAUUUAUAUAUGAAACCUCCCUUCUCCAAGAAAUAGCUCUCUCCUAAAUUCUCUGGAUAUUUCCUAGAGAAAUCUGCCUUCCCUGUCCAUGAUAAACCAGGAAGAUACAUCCUUCUGCCAACCAAAUAAAAAAAAUUAGUUUCUUGUUCUGGAUCUACA